rnacentral:rRNA from 1 species
UGGGGAAUCUUGGGCAAUGGGCGAAAGCCUGACCCAGCGACGCCGCGUGGGGGACGAAGGCCUUCGGGUCGUAAACCCCUGUUCUGGGGGAAGAACCAGGUCGUAGCGAAUAGCUAUGGCCUGCUGACGGUACCCCAGGAGAAAGCCACGGCUAACUGCGUGCCAGCAGCCGCGGUAAUACGCAGGUGGCAAGCGUUGCCCGGAAUCACUGGGCGUAAAGGGUGCGUAGGCGGCAAGGCAAGUCGCAGGUCAAAGCCCGGGGCUCAACCCCGGAAGGGCCUGCGAUACUGUUUUGCUUGAGGGCCGGAGAGGCUGGCGGAAUUCCCGGUGUAGGGGUGAAAUCCGUAGAUAUCGGGAGGAACACCGGUGGGGAAGCCUGCCAGCUGGACGGUUCCUGACGCUGAG